CUACUAAGUCAUCACUCCAGCCCAAAUAAGUUUAUUUUUUAAAAAAAGAAAUGUCUGGGGCUGGAGAGAUGGCUUAGCAGU
rnacentral:miRNA from 1 species